UGGGGAAUUUUGGACAAUGGGCGCAAGCCUGAUCCAGCCAUGCCGCGUGCGGGAAGAAGGCCUUCGGGUUGUAAACCGCUUUUGUCAGGGAAGAAACGCUCUGGGCUAAUACCCUGGGGUAAUGACGGUACCUGAAGAAUAAGCACCGGCUAACUACGUGCCAGCAGCCGCGGUAAUACGUAGGGUGCAAGCGUUAAUCGGAAUUACUGGGCGUAAAGCGUGCGCAGGCGGUUAUGCAAGACAGAUGUGAAAUCCCCGGGCUCAACCUGGGAACUGCAUUUGUGACUGUAUAGCUAGAGUACGGUAGAGGGGGGAUGGAAUUCCGCGUGUAGCAGUGAAAUGCGUAGAUAUGCGGAGGAACACCGAUGGCGAAGGCAAUCCCCUGGACCUGUACUGACGCUCAUGCACGAAAGCGUGGGGAGCAAACAGGAUUAGAUACCCUCGUAGUCCCUGAGCGGGCUGGCAAGGCGCAU
rnacentral:rRNA from 1 species